rnacentral:rRNA from 1 species
UACGGAGGGUGCGAGCGUUGUUCGGAAUUAUUGGGCGUAAAGCGCGUGUAGGCGGUUUUUUAAGUCUGAUGUGAAAGCCCCGGGCUCAACCUGGGAAGUGCAUUGGAAACUGGGAGACUUGAAUACGGGAGAGGGUAGUGGAAUUCCUGGUGUAGGAGUGAAAUCCGUAGAUAUCAGGAGGAACACCGGUGGCGAAGGCGGCUGCCUGGACCGAUAUUGACGCUGAGACGCGAAAGCGUGGGGAGCAAACAGG